rnacentral:rRNA from 1 species
AUUGAACGCUGGCGGCAGGCUUAACACAUGCAAGUCGAGCGAGCGGCGGACGGGUGAGUAAUGUCUGGGAAACUGCCUGAUGGAGGGGGAUAACUACUGGAAACGGUAGCUAAUACCGCAUACCAUCAGAUGUGCCCAGAUGGGAUUAGCUAGUAGGUGGGGUAAAGGCUCACCUAGGCGACGAUCCCUAGCUGGUCUGAGAGGAUGACCAGCAACACGGGAACUGAGACCGGGCCCAGACCCCAAGGGGGGGCAGAGGGGGGGAAUAUUGCACAAUGGGCGCAAGCUGAAUGCACCCAUGCCGCGUGUGUGAAGAAGGCCUUCGGGUUGAAAAGCACUUUCAGCGAGGAGGCGUUACUCGCAGAAGAAGCACCGGCUAACUCCGUGCCAGCAGCCGCGGUAAUAC